rnacentral:rRNA from 1 species
GCUCUCGCAUCGAUGAAGAACGCAGCGAAAUGCGAUACGUAAUGUGAAUUGCAGAAUUCAGUGAAUCAUCGAAUCUUUGAACGCAUCUUGCGCCCCUUGGUAUUCCGAGGGGCACACCCGUUUGAGUGUCGUGAAAUUCUCAAACCUUCUUGGUUUCUUGAUCAAGAUGGCUUUGGACUUUGGAGGUGUUUUGCCGGCUUUUCGCAAAGUCAGCUCCUCUUAAAUACAUUAGUGGGGUCCCCUUUGCCGAUCCCCAGGCGUGAUAAGAUGUUUCUACGUCUUGGGAUUUGCUCUGUUCCCUGGGAACCUGCUUCUAACCGUCUCGUUGGAGACACCGUUCGAGUUUGCUCGACGCACGAACCUUGACCUCAAAUCGGGUGAGACUACCCGCUGAACUUAAGCAUAUCAAUAAGCGGAGGAAAAGAAACUAACAAGGAUUCCCCUAGUAACUGCGAGUGAAGCGGGAAAAGCUCAAAUUUAAAAUCUGGUGGCCUUUGGUCAUCCGAGUUGUAAUUUAGAGAAGCGUCUUCCGCGCUGGACCAUGCACAAGUCUCCUGGAAUGGAGCGUCAUAGAGGGUGAGAAUCCCGUCUUUGGCAUGGAUGUACCAGGGCUUCUGUGAUGCGCUCUCGAAGAGUCGAGUUGUUUGGGAAUGCAGCUCAAAAUGGGUGGUGAACUCCAUCUAAAGCUAAAUAUUGGCGAGAGACCGAUAGCGAACAAGUACCG